rnacentral:rRNA from 1 species
CCUUCGGGAACGUCUGACACAGGUGCUGCAUGGCUGUCGUCAGCUCGUGUCAUGAGAUGUUGGGUUAAGUCCGUAACGAGCGCAACCCUUGUCCUUAGUUACCAGCACGUUAUGGUGGGCACUCUAAGGAGACUGCCGGUGCAAACCGGAGGAAGGUGGGGAUGACGUCAAGUCAUCAUGGCCCUUACGGCCUGGGCUACACACGUGCUACAAUGGUCGGUACAAAGGGUUGCCAAGCCGCGAGGUGGAGCUAAUCCCAUAAAACCGAUCGUAGUCCGGAUCGCAGUCUGCAACUCGACUGCGUGAAGUCGGAAUCGCUAGUAAUCGUGAAUCAGAAUGUCACGGUGAAUACGUUCCCGGGCCUU